rnacentral:rRNA from 1 species
AGAGUUUGAUCCUGGCUCAGAUUGAACGCUGGCGGCAUGCCUUACACAUGCAAGUCGAACGGUAACAGGUCUUCGGAUGCUGACGAGUGGCGAACGGGUGAGUAAUACAUCGGAACGUGCCCGAUCGUGGGGGAUAACGGAGCGAAAGCUUUGCUAAUACCGCAUACGAUCUACGGAUGAAAGCAGGGGACCGCAAGGCCUUGCACGGACGGAGCGGCCGAUGGCAGAUUAGGUAGUUGGUGGGAUAAAAGCUUACCAAGCCGACGAUCUGUAGCUGGUCUGAGAGGACGACCAGCCACACUGGGACUGAGACACGGCCCAGACUCCUACGGGAGGCAGCAGUGGGGAAUUUUGGACAAUGGGCGAAA